CGUAUAUUAAAGUUGUUGCGUUUAAAACGCCCGUAGUUGAGCCUCGCCGGGUGCUCACGGCGUCAUGCGCGGUGUGUGCUUUUUGGUGCCCUGGGGUGGGUUAUUUUAACUAAUAACGCGACUCGGGGGUAUUCUUUUAAGUAUCGUCGCGUUGCGUCGUGGUUGUUUGCACCCGGUGCGUGGCCGGGGGGGGCUAAACACCCCCCCCGACACGCCGUUACCAUAAAGAAAUUGGAGUGUUCCAGGCAGGCGCACUGCGCCCUUGCACAGUCCAGUAUGGGAUAACAGCGGAUGACUUGCGCCCGUUUAUUGGUUUCCCCCGGGCAGUGGAGUAAUGGUUGAUAGGGGCGGUCGGGGGCAUUAGUACUGGGGCGGGAAAGGUUAAAUUUGAUGAUCGCCCCAAGACUGCCGAGGGCGAAAGCGCUUGCCAAGGACGCUUUCGUUGAUCAAGGACGAAAGCUGGGGGAGAGAAGGAGAUCAGACACCUCCGUAUUCCCAGCCGUAAACGAUGCCGACCAGGGCCCGGGGGCACACCUUCGUUGCUUUGGUGGCCCCCGGGACCUCGCGAGAAAUCCGAGUAUUCAGGUUACGGGGGGAGUAUGGUCGCAAGGCAGAAACUUAAAGGAAUUGACGGAAGGGCACCACAAUUGGCGUGGAGCCUGCGGCUUAAUUGGAUUCAACGCCGUGAAACUUACCAGGCCCAGACCCGCUAGGGAUUGACAGACUGACAGAUCUUUCGUGAUUGCGGGAGUGGUGGUGCAUGGCCGUUCUCAGUUCGUGGGGUGACCCGUCUGCUUAAUUGCGAUAACGGACGAGACCUCUGCCUGCUAAAUAGGGAAGCCCAGGAUGUUGUCAUUCAUGAUAAACCCUCCGGGCGGGCGAGCGCCCCGCAUCCGCAAGGGUGUGUUUGGCUGCGCGAGCCGUCUUGACUCCCUUCUUAGAGGGACCGUUGCUGUAAGGCGCGAGGAAGCGCGAGGCAAUAACAGGUCUGUGAUGCCCUUAGAUGUCUCUGGGCCGCACGCGUGCUACAAUGGCGAGGACACUGUGUGCGCACCGAACCCGGAAGGGGGAGGUACCCACUGCAAUCCUCGUCCCGGCUGGGAUUGACGCCUGCAACUAUUCGUCAUGAACCCGGAAUGCCUCGUAGGCGCGCGUCACCAUCGCGCGCCGA
rnacentral:rRNA from 1 species